AUAAAGCAGUUGGAUGAAGACCUCCUUACUUGACGCAAGUCUUUUGGAAUAAAAAUCCAAUUAAUGUUAGUUCGUCAAGACCUUAUAAUGGAGGGGUGAUACAUCCUUGAUUUUCUUCGCUAUCCUGCACAAGAUGGGACCAACCAUAUGUGUUUUAACAUCAUCGACAAUAUCGUCACCGAAUUUCAGAGGAAUGGUAUUGAUAAGGGUUUCUUGAAUAGCGGGGAGGAAUAAAGGAGGAAGACAGCUUACCUGUAGUUACUACUGACACAGGUAAUUCCUUCUUUCAACAACAAGCCAACCAGCAACCAGCUCACAAGUUGUCAAAAGUUAUAUUUUAUAUGGAAGUAUAAACUUAAAUUAAAGCGAGAUAUUUUAA